rnacentral:lncRNA from 1 species
GAUUUGGGCUUUUCUCUUGAGAGGGUUUUGAGUAGAGAAGUGACAUGAGCUCACCUACUAGGCAGUUGUCCAUCUACAGGGCAUCUUCGUGCAAACUGAAAAGGAUGCCCUUUCUUCCAAAUGGCUGCAACCUUGAAGCAAAGCACACAGCUCAGUGAGUGGAGCAGGGCUGGAUUUCAUCCCUUGCUCAGCUGGGUGCUCCAGGGAGGAGAUUAUUACAGUACAGUAGGUGGAAACAGAAGCUGUGGUAGCUGAAGAAGUUUGGUCCACCUGGCUUGUUAGGAA